AGUGUGCGAGGAAGGGAAAGUGAAAGCGGGCCCUAGCAGACCGGGAAGGAGGCGGUGAGGCCCAGGGCAGACGCGAUGGGCAGGGGGUGAGAACAGGAGGAGAGAGCAGAGGAGAAAACCGGAGGAGAACGCAGAGAAGGCCAGGCUGCACUUCUCCCGGGGUUCUCCUCAGGGACUAAUGUGUCUUCAAGGCUGACAUUGACCUUCUUGGGUGACCCGGGGCACUGGCCUCACACGACACCAUGGGGCUGGCUUGGCCCUUCAGCUAGGGGGGCCUCCAGACCUUCCGAUGCCCCUCCUCCAGUCAGGGCUGGCUCAGGCCCCUCUGCCAGGGACACACCCUAACCCCCCACCCCAUUCCGGGGUCUACAGUCCAAAAGGCCAGAGAAAAUGGCCCGGGCACCCUCUCUGUGCCGGGGAGGCUGGGGUCCCAUCCUUGGGUGGCCAUUCUCCCACAGGUCAAAAUAUGUGUACCGACACCCCUGCCCUGUCUGGGUCUCAGUUUCCACUUCUACAAAUGGGAAGCGGGGCCACUAAAUCUCUGUGCCUGUCAGUAGGGAGAUAGGACAAGCCUCUCAGGGCUGUCCCAGGCACCACAGGUUCCUAGGAAGCUAGCUCCAGGGGCUGGGAGGCUAACUUCUGGGCCGCCCCCAGGCCUCAGGGCCUCACUCUGUGGCCACCUCCUGGCCUCACCUGGGACCCCCUUCCAGUGCCCGCAGGGCCUAGCCAAGCUGUCCACGGUUUGAAAACCUUUCUCUCUUGCCCUGGACAUGAAGCGGGCUUGGUCAGGGACCAAGAAGGAUAAUGACGGUCAGGUACCAGAAAGGGUUACUACUUCCAGGGCUGUCCCCCGACCACCAGCCGAUCAAAGAGCAGGUACACCAAGCAGGUGUGGAGGGAGCCAAACCCAGGCAAAGCCAGAGGGCAGGGCCCAGAUGGGCGUGUCUGCCCCUGCCUGUCCCACCCUCGCAGCCACCGAUGCCACCACACGUGCCCACCUCUGCCUCUCCUGUGCCUUCUCUCCCGAGGUCCCUCUGGGUCCCUCCCCAGUCUCUGGGUGGACAGAGUACCGGGGGUCGACGCUGCCCCUGAGGGCUCUAGGCGCAUAAACUGGGGAGAACACGGGCCCUCCCGACGCAAGACAGCCAAGUGGUGAAGAGGCUGGAGGCAAGUGGGGCCCUGCCCACUGCGGGGGGAGCAUAAACCCGCACAACCGAUUUGGAAGUCUGGCAUUGUCUGGUAAAGCUGACCCUGCGUAUUCCCCACGACGCGGCAAUUCCAGCUUUGGCGGAUCGACACUACAAGGACUCAUGCCCACGUGCCCACGAAACAUGGAUCAGACGUUCCUGGAAGUACUUCAAAGAAAGCUUAAACCAGGACCCACCCAAGUGUGCCCUCCGGGGGAGGGGAAGAGAGAGUCUUGGAAAUCUGUCUUGUGAGUCCAGCACAUCUCGAUCUCGACCAGCCACAGUUCAAGUACUCGGCAGCCACCGGCAACACGUGACCACCGUCCUCAACAGCGUGGCUCUGGAGAGCGGCCAGGGCCGAGAGGCCUCCCACCUGCCCUCCCGCACACAGAGCCCAGCCUCCUGUUCUGCCCUGUGGCCUCCUUCUCAGAUGGCUCAUUUGCUGCCUUUCCUGUGACAGUGGUCUUCUCACUCUGCCCUGUGUGCUGACAAAAGCUGAUUUACGUCCUUACAACAAACAAAUAAAAAGAUACAAAAUU